GGGUGCUUGCACCUGGUGGCGAGUGGCGAACGGGUGAGUAAUACAUCGGAACAUGUCCUGUAGUGGGGGAUAGCCCGGCGAAAGCCGGAUUAAUACCGCAUACGAUCUACGGAUGAAAGCGGGGGACCUUCGGGCCUCGCGCUAUAGGGUUGGCCGAUGGCUGAUUAGCUAGUUGGUGGGGUAAAGGCCUACCAAGGCGACGAUCAGUAGCUGGUCUGAGAGGACGACCAGCCACACUGGGACUGAGACACGGCCCAAACUCCUACGGGAGGCAGCAGUGGGGAAUUUUGGACAAUGGGCGAAAGCCUGAUCCAGCAAUGCCGCGUGUGUGAAGAAGGCCAUUCGUGGGAUUUGUUAAAAGCAGCUAUUGUACCGGAAAGGAAACUGCCAUGACUCUAAUAGCAGUCGGGGGGAUGACGGUAACCAGGAAGAAUAAGCACAGGCUAACUACGUGCCAGCAGCCGCGGUAAUACGUACGAGUGCGAGUCGUUAAUCGGAAAUUACUGGGCGUAAAGCGUGCGCAGGUCGGUUUGCUAAGACCGAUGUGAAAUCCCCCCGGGCUCAACCUGGGAACUGCAUUGGUGACUGGCAGGCUAGAGUAUGGCAGAGGGGGGGUAGAAUUCCACGUGUAGCAGUGAAAUGCGUAGAGAUGUGGAGGAAUACCGAUGGCGAAGGCAGCCCCCUGGGCCAAUACUGACGCUCAUGCACGAAAGCGUGGGGAGCAAACAGGAUUAGAUACCCUGGUAGUCCACGCCCUAAACGAUGUCAACUAGUUGUUGGGGAUUCAUUUCCUUAGUAACGUAGCUAACGCGUGAAGUUGACCGCCUGGGGAGUACGGUCGCAAGAUUAAAACUCAAAGGAAUUGACGGGGACCCGCACAAGCGGUGGAUGAUGUGGAUUAAUUCGAUGCAACGCGAAAAACCUUACCUACCCUUGACAUGGGUCCGGAAUCCCCGCUGAGAGGUGGGUAGUGCUCGAAAGAGUAACCCUGGCGCACACGGUGCUGACAUGGGCUGUCGAUCAGCUCGCUGUCGUGGAGAUGUUCGGGAUAAGGUCCCGCUAACGAAGCCGCCAACCCAUUGUUCCACUCUACAGAUUUGGCCUCUCACUCGCCAAUGACCACUUUAAGGAGACUGCCGGUGACAAACCGGAGGAAGGUGGGGAGGACGUCAAGUCCUCAUGGCCCUUAUGGGUAGGGCUUCACACGUCAUCCAAUGGUCGGAACAGAGGGUUGCCAACCCGCGAGGGGGAGCUAAUCCCAGAAAACCGAUCGUAGUCCGGAUUCCACUCUGCAACUCGAGUGCAUGAAGCUGGAAUCGCUAGUAAUCGCGGAUCAGCAUGCCGCGGUGAAUACGUUCCCGGGUCUUGUACACACCCCCCGUCACACCAUGGGAGUGGGUUUUACCAGAAGUGGCUAGUCU
rnacentral:rRNA from 1 species